GGACGAACGCUGGCGGCGUGCCUAAUACAUGCAAGUAGAACGCACAGUUUAUACCGUAGCUUGCUACACCAUAGACUGUGAGUUGCGAACGGGUGAGUAACGCGUAGGUAACCUGCCUGGUAGCGGGGGAUAACUAUUGGAAACGAUAGCUAAUACCGCAUAAUAUUGAUUAUUGCAUGAUAAUUGAUUGAAAGAUGCUAUUGCAUCACUACCAGAUGGACCUGCGUUGUAUUAGCUAGUAGGUGAGGUAACGGCUCACCUAGGCGACGAUACAUAGCCGACCUGAGAGGGUGAUCGGCCACACUGGGACUGAGACACGGCCCAGACUCCUACGGGAGGCAGCAGUAGGGAAUCCUCGGCAAUGGACGAAAGUCUGACCGAGCAACGCCGCGUGAGUGAAGAAGGGUUUCGGAUCGUAAAGCUCUGUUGUAAGAGAAGAACGGGUGUGAGAGUGGAAAGUUCACACUGUGACGGUAUCUUACCAGAAAGGGACGGCUAACUACGUG
rnacentral:rRNA from 1 species